AUCCAUCUGCAACCCACAGAUCAAGGCCAGCGAUCAAACCCGCAUCCUCACAGAUACCAAUCAAGUUUGCAACCCACUGUGCCACAGGAGGAACUCUGCUUUUCAUUUUUAUUUAUCUUUUUGGCCAUGAUGGCAGCAAGAAGUCCCUAAGCCAGGGAUCAAACCCUCACCACAGCUGUAGCCAGAGUCACAGCAGUGACAACGCCAAAUCUCUAGCCUGCCGAGCCACCAGGGAACUCUGAGCCUGUGGCUUUCGGGCUGCAGAGACUCUCAGUGGAGAAGAAGAAGGGUAGGUCCUGCAAAUCCGCAGCUGUGGCGUGUCCCUGGGGAAACGCUGUGUCUUGGUCACUGGGCAGCUGGCCUGACCUGUUUGUCAUCCCAGGGGAUAAAGAGACAGCGAUGCCAGCCGCGCGUUUCUGGACUAAGACUUCCCGAGGCUGUCAGUCACCCCGGACACCACCCCUUCGACCUCCUUUGGUGGCAGAGUUUAGGUCUCAGACAAGAGGGUCACUGGUUUUACUCCGCACGGCUUUUACCCUUUUCUCAGCGCCCUUUCGAAUACGGCGCACACGUCCCGACGUCAGGACUCAGGCCCCACGGCCCUGCGGUCAGCGGCCCACCGCUCUGCGCUGCCUCCCGCUGUCCUCACUUCCCUCCGCAAGUGGAAGGUGCCUAGAGAGCAGGGCCUGACACUUCUGCCCCCACGGGUAAACUACGCCACUGGGUCACUAGCCUCCCCUUCCUCCGCCACGGUGAGAGCUAAGGGUGGUUGUCUACUCAGAGGCUUUCAAGAGAAGAGACGCAUCACAAAACAAGCGGACGGGUCUCGAGAGGGCAUCAGGGAACGCAGGCGCAGGGCCCGGGGCCCCGGCCCGCCAGCCGCGCCCCUUUCGCAGCCCAGCCCAGCCUCGGCGUGGGCGACUCCUUCGGGCGCCCCUGGAAGCCCGAGGAGAGCAGGGAUGCCGAUGACGCCGCCGUGCACUCAGCCGGGCUGGGUCUUGCUGCCAGGCGGGUGGCCGCCAAGGCUGGGCCCACGGCGACGGGCCAUCAAAGCGAAUGGGGACACGAUCGCCAGAGAAAGCCGGGCGUGGACCUCGAUGAGACACAAGGGCAGACGACAGGAAGGUCCCUCCGCUGCGACAACGGGUGGAGGCAAACGUGUCCGCGUGCAGAGUGGAGGGGACGAGGGACGAGGCUGGUUGGGGAAGCGGCAGAUGGACACUCCGCCCCGGCAGCCGGCAGCGCACUCGCGGCCAGAGGCAAAACCAACACGCGGCCGCCCGUGCCUGCGCCCACAGCUCCUCCACCCGGCGGCGGCUGCUCCUGGCUCCGCACGGCCUUCCCUCCGGCACUCGGCAGAAACCCGCUGGGGCUGGGGGACUUCCCCUGGGGCCAGGUGGCACCGGCCUGGAUCCAAUUCCCUUCUCACUGUGUAUUGUUUGGGUUUUUUGGUUUUUUCCGUAUUUUUUUUUAAGGGCCGCACCCACAGCACACGGCUCCCAGGUAUGGGCCUUAAAAAAAAAAAGACCUAUGGUUCAGCUCUCCUGGGUCUCCAACUUGCUGGCUACAGAUCCUGGGACUUUUCAGGAGGCAUGUGGGCGAGCCAUCUCCUUUUAAUAAAAACCUCUCUCCCUCUCUUUCUCUAGACAGCACACACGGCACAACGAGGCAGCUCGGGCUACGCGUUCCGACGCCCUGCGGUGCCCUGGACAACAGUGUUGGGGCAUGGACGUCCCUGUCAGCUGGUCCCACAUCAAAAGCUUCACCUUCAGAAUGACAGCCCUGAGGUAUCAGACCCUUAAAUGACUGACAAUAAUUAAGGUAAGUGCAGGUUCCCAUCAUGGCUCAGUGGUUAGCAAACCUGACUAGUAUCCAUGAGGAUGCAGGUUUGGUCCCCGGCCUCAAUCAGUGGGUCAGGGAAUCCAGGUUGCCGUGAGCUGUGGUGUCGGUGGCAGACACGGCUCGGAUCUCGUGUGGCUGUGGCGUAGGCCGGUGGCUACAGCUCUGAUUCGACCCCUAGCCGGGGAACCUCCAUAUGCUGCGGGAGUGGCCCUAAAAAGACAAAAAAUUCAAGUUAAAAACAAAAAUAAAACAUAGCCUCAAAAUGCA
ensembl:lncRNA